GAUGAACGCUGGCGGCGUGCCUAAUACAUGCAAGUCGAGCGAACAGACGAGGAGCUUGCUCCUUUGACGUUAGCGGCGGACGGGUGAGUAACACGUGGAUAACCUACCUAUAAGACUGGGAUAACUUCGGGAAACCGGAGCUAAUACCGGAUAAUAUAUUGAACCGCAUGGUUCAAUAGUGAAAGGCGGCUUUGCUGUCACUUAUAGAUGGAUCCGCGCCGCAUUAGCUAGUUGGUAAGGUAACGGCUUACCAAGGCAACGAUGCGUAGCCGACCUGAGAGGGUGAUCGGCCACACUGGAACUGAGACACGGUCCAGACUCCUACGGGAGGCAGCAGUAGGGAAUCUUCCGCAAUGGGCGAAAGCCUGACGGAGCAACGCCGCGUGAGUGAUGAAGGUCUUCGGAUCGUAAAACUCUGUUAUCAGGGAAGAACAAAUGUGUAAGUAACUAUGCACGUCUUGACGGUACCUGAUCAGAAAGCCACGGCUAACUACGUG
rnacentral:rRNA from 1 species